UACGGGGGGGGCAAGCGUUGUUCGGAAUUACUGGGCGUAAAGGGCUCGUAGGCGGCCAACUAAGUCCGACGUGAAAUCCCUCGGCUUAACCGGGGAACUGCGUCUGAUACUGGAUGGCUGGAGUUUGGGAGAGGGAUGCGGAAUUCCAGGUGUAGCGGUGAAAUGCGUAGAUAUCUGGAGGAACACCGGUGGCGAAGGCGGCAUCCUGGACCAAUACUGACGCUGAGGAGCGAAAGCCAGGGGAGCAAACGGG
rnacentral:rRNA from 1 species